rnacentral:rRNA from 1 species
AUGAUAUUUUUAUGUUGUGUAGAUCAUGAGACCACUAAUGUGGAAGAGGCAGGUCGAAACACAGAUGAUUAUUACAGCAAAAGGUUAAAACCAGAGAUAGGAAUGGAAUUUGAGAAUGAAGAUAUAGCAUAUGAGUUUUAUAAUGCAUAUGCAAGACAUGCAGGUUUCAAGGACAAGAGCAAGGAACAAUGCCAGCGGAAACGAGCAGAUACAAGAGUUGGAAGUCUGGCAGAGAUGACCAUCAAAAUAAGUGCUAACGGAAAAUAUGUUGUAAGCAGCUUGGAGGAUGCCCAUAAUCAUGAACUCGUAACUCCAAGCAAAUCCCAUCUACUGCAAUCCCAAAGAAGAAUUACAGAAGCUCAAAAGGCCCAGAUUGACAUAUUGAAUGAUUCGGGUAUUAGACCAAAAUCUGAUCAUGAAGUGAUGAGUAGGCAAGCAGGGGGCCGACAAAGUCUUUGCUUCGGUCACAAAGAUUAUAAAAAUUAUCUCCGGUCAAAGCGUAUGCAAUCAAUCCAAGAAGGAGACACAAGUGCCAUUCUUCAAUACCUACAGGAGAAGCAAAUGGAAAAUCCUUCCUUUUUUUAUGCAAUACAAGUAGAUGAAGAGGAUAUGAUGAUCAAUAUAUUCUGGGCAGAUGCAAGACCAAUAUUAGAUUAUCACUACUUUGGUGAUGUGGUAUGCUUUGACACAACCUUUAAGACAAAUAGUUAUGGAAGACCAUUUGCCCCUUUUGUUGGUGUCAACCAUCAUAAACAAACAGUGGUUUUUGGAGCUGCAUUAUUGUACGAUGAAACAGCUGAUACGUUUGAAUGGUUAUUUGAAACAUUCAAAAGGGCUAUGUCAGGGAAAGAACCAAAAACAAUAUUGACCGACCAAUGUCCUGCCAUUAUUAGUGCCAUUGACAAGGUUUUUACCAAUUCAAUACAUCGUCUAUGUGUGUGGCACAUGUAUUAG